GAGAGAGAGCGGCGGCGCUGUUUGCGGGGCGGAAGUCCGGAGGGUUCAGUGGUAAAAAGAGAGCUGGGAGAGUUCUUCGAGGCGAAGGAUUAAUUCCGUUAUGAAGCACCCAAGACUGCAUGCAGGACUCGAAGUGAGGCUGCACCAGUGCAGAGAGGAGCCAGACAAUCCCCUUGCUCGACUGGCUGAUGCCUCCCAGGACACGGUUGGCCCUCCUGGCUGCCAGGGCACUGCUGACUCAUAUUCAAUGUGCCAUCGACCAGGACCCCCAGGUCCCUUUUUGCAGGAAACGUUGCCUUAUGGGUGGUGUGAUAGCAAUUCAGGGUCAGAGAGGGAUAACCUGGGAAAGGUACGGUGGGCACAUGGCUGGGGCAGCUAUGCUUAGUAUAAGUUCAGUGAUUGUAAAGUUUACUCAGUCUUAAUGCUCUGUAUUUUCAUAAUUCUUGUUUGAGGUACACAGGAAUUAUGCUAUAGAAUGAUACUGGGAACAUUUAAGCCUCUUUUCUCUGUAAUAAAUUAUUGUGUUUUAGCAUCUGCUUCUGGGCAACUUGCUAGAGCUGCUGGAUGGUUCAUCAGAUCAUUAUGUAAACAUUAUGCCAUCAAUUUGAAGUGAUAAAAGCUAAUUUUAAAAUUUAAUUAAAAGCCUGCUGUUUGUAAAGUGAAAAAAAAAAGACUGCCUGGUUUUGGGGGUUGGUUUGUUUGUUUUUCCAGAAUGUUCAAUUUUCUGUAAAAUCAGACAAAAUAGAUAAAGCAGAACUGCUCAGCAGAUUUGAUAUGUUCAUGUACAUAUUGAAAAUUUGUUUGAUUUAUAUAGUAAAUAGCUAAGGGAUUGGAAGCAACUUGAGAAGAAAUUUACUGUGACCUCUCCCUCCAGAGAGGUUAAAUAAUGCCUGUAUUGUUUUUGGCAGAUAGUUGUCUAACAAUGAUCAGAUCUGUCUGCAAGCAAAGUUAAAUAAUGUUGUUGUUGGAUUUGUAACAACACAUAUGUUGUUACAGAUUAACAAACAUCACUAUUGCUUGAUAAAAUGUCUGUAUGAUAAAGGAUUGAAACAUCAUCAUGUUAGAAAAACGGUUAAUUUAUUAUUUGUAUUCCUAAAAGAAUAAGAACUGGGGAAAAAAUAUUUUAUCUUCCCACAACAUGAACAGGAGAGUCGAAGGAUGUGGCUAAAAUAAACUAGUCCCAGGAUCA